AUUGAACGCUGGCGGCAUGCCUUACACAUGCAAGUCGAACGGUAACAGGUCUUCGGAUGCUGACGAGUGGCGAACGGGUGAGUAAUACAUCGGAACGUGCCUAGUAGUGGGGAAUAACUACUCGAAAGAGUGGCUAAUACCGCAUGAGAUCUACGGAUGAAAGCAGGGGAUCGCAAGACCUUGUGCUACUAGAGCGGCCGAUGGCAGAUUAGGUAGUUGGUGGGAUAAAAGCUUACCAAGCCGACGAUCUGUAGCUGGUCUGAGAGGACGAUCAGCCACACUGGGACUGAGAAACGGCCCAGACUCCUACGGGAGGCAGCAGUGGGGAAUUUUGGACAAUGGGCGCAAGCCUGAUCCAGCAAUGCCGCGUGCUGGAUGAAGGCCUUCGGGUUGUAAACUGCUUUUGUACGGAACGAAAAGCCCCGGGUUAAUACCCUGGGGUCAUGACGGUACCGUAAGAAUAAGCACCGGCUAACUACGUGCCAGCAGCCGCAGUAA
rnacentral:rRNA from 1 species